UAAAAAGCGAUGGAAGUUUAUUCUACUUUGUCCAUAGAGGAGGCUCUACAGAAUGAGACCAUAAAGGCAGCAAUUUUACGGGUGUAUGAGCUGGUUCCUGAAGCUUUCAGACAGAAAUUUAGGAAUCAUAAAAAGGUUAGUACUGAGACGUUUGUUGAAUUUGCACGUGAGAAAGGCAUAUUGUUUGAUAAGUGGCGUACGUCUAGCACAAGUUACUGAUUUCGCCUCCUUGCGCAAGUUGAUGCUCCUUGAAGAUUUUAAAAGGUGUUUGCCUAAGAGCAUUGUCCAGUAUUUAAAUGGACAGAAAACCACAACAUUGUCUACUACUGCAGUUUUAGCAGAUGAGUUUGCACUAACACACAAGAAUGUGUUUAGUACUGCGCACUGUGAUAAAAAUAACCUUUCUGUUCCUCAAGUGCACUCUGCCUCUGUUAAAUUCAGUGUAGACCAGCUUAAAGAAAAAUGUGAGUGUUUUUACUGUCACAAGGUGGUUCAUGUAAUCGCUGAUUGUUUGAUGUUAAAGAAAAAGCAACAAGUUCUGGGUACAAAGUCUGUUGUUUUUGUGAAUGCAAUUUCCCCAUCUCAUACUGAUCUGAUAUAUAAACCAUUUAUGCUAAAAGGUUUUGUGUCUUUCAGUGGUAAUCCUGACGACCAGGUUCAAGUGCAGGUGUUGCGUGACACUGGAGCAGUGCAGUCCUUUAUGUGUGGGGAUGUGUUUCCAUUUUCGGAGCAGUCAAAUCUGGGAUCCAGCAUUUUAGUGCAAGGUAUUGGUAUGGAAGUGUUGAAAGUGCCACUGCAUUGUGUGCAUUUGCAGACUGUCUUGGUUAUUUGGUUUGUUAAUGAGCGCCUUUACAUGCAUGUUCUUAAGCCUAUUAUGCUUAAGCUGAAAACGCACUUGGUCAUGUAAAUGCGGUAACUCGUUUACUUUUAUUGGAAUAAGGUCAUAAACGAGGUAAGCAUGAACCGGUUGCAACAGGUAGAUUUUUGUCUCUUACUCCGACUUCGCACGACCUGAAAACGCAAUAACCCGCUUUCUGUCGGCUUAUUGAACUGUGCAUGUGUGAUACAUGACAGGAAUGCAUCAAUAGUGCAGAUUUAAGCACACCUAGACCGAACAAACGUUUUUACGGAGCCCCUAAAGGUUCA
ensembl:lncRNA